rnacentral:misc_RNA from 1 species
ACGAGUUUUAAUUGUUAGGUUAGAGUUGAGCUGGUUAAUCUAAUUAAUAUGUGCUUACUCUAAUCGAAACAAGUCCACUCAUUACUUAACACUUGUGAACUUAUUCACUACAAACCUUCUAUGUUAUAGGAAUGUUUCUGCUUAUAACCAGUUAUAUA